ACGGGCACUCCCAAUUUCUGCUCCCCCUUCGUUCAUAAAAAAUGAUGCAAAGGUGAGUGAACUCAGGUGUCCAGUGAGUGAUUGUGAUCAUUUUCGUCGUUUAAUGAAGCCCAUAUAUCGACUGUGUCAUCCUCUUUCGGGAAACAUAAAUUUGGAAUAAAUGUUGGUACUUGGUAACUGAGGAACAGGCCUCUGUGUGUUAGGCGGCCACGCCCCGCCGACACGAACCAGCACUUCCUCGGCCCACACCUCACACAGACAGAAAAGACUAUCCGGUAUUAAAUCCCAAAACUAACAGCAAUAAUAAACCCUUGUAUUUAUCUGCAUAAUAACAGGGAUUUGAUAUUCCUGAUAGUUUUUUGUUUGUUUGUUUGAGAAGCGGGGAACCACGCACAGUGCUGCCCCCUACCAACGCACCUGUCAGUGUUACUCGACGAGACAGGUGAGUCGACGGCACUCCAGGGACUUCUUCAUGACUCCUUCCUACGGUGGCACUUGUCAGGCGGCGAGCUGGAGCACUAAGGCGACGAAGCACUCCGGCGGGGGUAACUUCACCACCUCACCCGCACCUUCAUCUCCUACGCGGCUCCUCACAAAAGUAUCACGGUGUUCCGUUAGUGCCGUGGCCUCGCCUUGAGCAGCUGGGCGGGCACGUGGUGGGCAGUGUGGUCACAGUGGUGGUCAAGGGAGUAAGGAAGGAAGGAGUGACAACAGCAGGCAGCAGCGUCAUGGCGUCUCGGGGCGGAUCGAGGUUCUCAGGUGCGGCGGCCAGGUGGGCGCCGCGGUAAUGAUCAAAACAUUGUGAUAAACGGUGCCUCCGCCUGUCAAAGAAAACGGAUCACGUGUUUUCCGCCGCACUCACUCCCUCCCCAAUGCCCUCGCGCGGCCACAGCGAAAACCGUAACAGCAGGACUCCUCGGGAAGACGGUGACGAUAAUGACGAUAGUGAUGAUAAUGAUAACCUCUCUUUUGGCCUCCCCGGGACAUGACGUUUAUGGCUUCCUACAGGAGGCUGGCGUCCUCAACCUCCUAGUAAAGAAAACAGUUCAAAGAAAAGAAAAAGAAACGAUAAUGAAAAAAAGCCCGCUACUAAACACGGCAAUAAGAACAGGGAAAAGCGUAACAACGAUAGUACCAGUGAUGACGGUGCCGAUACUGACGAUGGAUAUAAGGGUGAUAAUAAUAAUAAUAAUAAUAAUAAUAAUAAUAAUAAUAAUAAUAAUAAUAAUAAUAAUAAUAAUAGAAAAGACGAAACAACUAAUAUCUUAAAACCAUAGGCGUAAGAAUAACAAUAAAUUAAAAAAAAGUCGUGAAGAAACAGGUGAAAUUUAAGAAAAGGUGAGAGAUAUAUAGUUUUCCACCUUUUUUUCAGUUUCCGUGCAUUUAAUAUUACGAAAACAGAUAAUAACUUCAAAACACAUGAGUAAAAAUAUCAAAAACACAAAAACUCCUAAGAAAACAGGUGAAAUGGAAGGAAAGGUGAGAUAUAUAUUGGCUAGCUCCCCCUCCCCUACCCUUUUUUCAUGUUUCCGUAUAAGGGUGUUUCAAUUUAGGAUUACGUGAGCUCAUUUCCUGAUGGUGUUUACGAGACGUUUUCUCACUCCACACUCGGCGCCCGGACGUGCCUCGGAGGGCCCCCGCGCGAUGGACGGGACGAAAAAAGGAGGAAAUCGUUGUGAUGAAAUAAAGACUUUUGUGAGGCCGCGGGAUAAGAGA